UACGUAGGUCCCGAGCGUUAUCCGGAUUUAUUGGGCGUAAAGCGUGCGCAGGCGGUUAGAUAAGUCUGAAGUGAAAGGCUGAGGCUUAACCUUAGUAUGCUUUGGAAACUGUAUAACUUGAGGGCGGAAGGGGAGAGUGGAAUUCCAUGUGUAGCGGUGAAAUGCGUAGAUAUAUGGAGGAACACCGGUGGCGAAAGCGGCUCUCUGGACUGUAACUGACGCUGAGGCUCGAAAGCGUGGGGAGCGAACAGG
rnacentral:rRNA from 1 species